CAGGGAUCCUGGGGUUCAGAGGGUCAGGCACAGAGCCGGACUCACACCCAGCACUGGCACCUCCCCAGCCAGUGCCCUUCCUUCUGCGUGAGAAGUCGAAGGAACCAAACAGCAUCAUGACUCGUUUCUGAAAGAAGAAAGUCCCACUACCCUUUCUCAUGUGUGGUGAGGACAGGAAGCUAAGGUGAGAAGUAGGAGUUUGUACAAAGACAGUGGUGACUAAUGAGGGGUCCACCCAACCCAUACAGCCCUCUGCAAAGAUAGCCCAAGCCCCAGCAGGGGAUUCUGGCCCUCAGGCACAGAACACAAGAGAACCCAGACUUUGGACGGCAGGCAGUACCAGGGUGAAAGACUUUUCCAACCGACAUGGUCACGUAGCCAUUCUCCUUGAAGUACUGGGGGAUGGUAGAGAAGUUUCCAGCAUGUAUCCUCCAGUAGGAAUUGAAGUCAUACAGGCGGGUGGUGUCUGGUCUCCUCCCAGUGAGGAAGGAUACACGGCUCGGAGCACACACUGCUUGCUGUAAGGGAGCAGAAGCAGAGG
rnacentral:lncRNA from 1 species